UACGUAGGGUGCAAGCGUUGUCCGGAAUUAUUGGGCGUAAAGAGCUCGUAGGCGGUUUGUCGCGUCUGCUGUGAAAUCCCGAGGCUCAACCUCGGGCUUGCAGUGGGUACGGGCAGACUAGAGUGCGGUAGGGGAGAUUGGAAUUCCUGGUGUAGCGGUGGAAUGCGCAGAUAUCAGGAGGAACACCGAUGGCGAAGGCAGAUCUCUGGGCCGUAACUGACGCUGAGGAGCGAAAGCGUGGGGAGCGAACAGG
rnacentral:rRNA from 2 species